rnacentral:rRNA from 1 species
UACAGAGGGGGCAAGCGUUGUUCGGAAUUACUGGGCGUAAAGGGCGCGUAGGCGGCCUUCUAAGUCGAACGUGAAAUCCCCCGGGCUCAACCCGGGAACUGCGUCCGAUACUGGAAGGCUUGAAUCCGGGAGAGGGAUGCGGAAUUCCAGGUGUAGCGGUGAAAUGCGUAGAUAUUGGGAGGAACACCAGUGGGCGAAGG